GACGUAGGGCGCGAGCGUUGUCCGGAUUUAUUGGGCAUAAAGAGCUCGUAGGCGGCUUGUCGCGUCGACUGUGAAAUCCCGCGGCUCAACCGCGGGUCUGCAGUCGAUACGGGCAGGCUAGAGUUCGGUAGGGGAGACUGGAAUUCCUGGUGUAGCGGUGAAAUGCGCAGAUAUCAGGAGGAACACCGAUGGCGAAGGCAGGUCUCUGGGCCGAUACUGACGCUGAGGAGCGAAAGCGUGGGGAGCGAACAGG
rnacentral:rRNA from 1 species